rnacentral:rRNA from 1 species
UACGUAGGGCGCAAGCGUUAUCCGGAAUUAUUGGGCGUAAAGAGCUCGUAGGCGGUUUGUCGCGUCUGCCGUGAAAGUCCGGGGCUCAACUCCGGAUCUGCGGUGGGUACGGGCAGACUAGAGUGAUGUAGGGGAGACUGGAAUUCCUGGUGUAGCGGUGAAAUGCGCAGAUAUCAGGAGGAACACCGAUGGCGAAGGCAGCUCUCUGGGACGGUACUGACGCUGAGGCUCGAAAGCAUGGGGAGCAAACAGG